rnacentral:lncRNA from 1 species
UUCACCAAUUGGUAUUUACCCGUGUUGUCCACAUUGCCCUACAAAAUAUAUACCAAGCCCAUAAAUAGCGAGGUUCUACCAAAAAAAAAAAAAAACGCGCGACCCGUGUUGUCCACAUUAUCCCUACAAAAUAUAUAUCAAGCCCAUAAAUAGCGAGAUUCUACCAAAAAAACGCGUGAGAUUGUAGAGGAGAUCUGCGUGUGAUCCUAUCAGCAUUUAAUUUAAAAUUUGAAACGGAAGUAAAUCUGUAGCUGCGUAAAUCUCUCAUUCUCCAUAUAUUUUCCA